UACGGAGGAUACGAGCGUUAUCCGGAUUUAUUGGGUUUAAAGGGUGCGCAGGCGGCACGGCAAGCCGGCGGUCAAAUCGCGGGGCUCAACCCCGCCCAGCCGUCGGAACUGCCGGGCUAGAGUGGGCGAGAAGUGCGCGGAAUGCGUGGUGUAGCGGUGAAAUGCAUAGAUAUCACGCAGAGCUCCGAUUGCGAAGGCAGCGCACCGGCGCCCUACUGACGCUCAGGCACGAAAGCGUGGGUAUCGAACAGG
rnacentral:rRNA from 1 species